rnacentral:rRNA from 1 species
GCACUGCGCCGAAGAUGUACCGGGGCUAAAGCAUAAUACCGAAACUGCGGAUUACUUUGUAAUGGUAGGGGAGCGUUCUAAGUGCGCUGAAGGUUGAUCGUAAGGACAGCUGGAGCGCUUAGAAGUGAGAAUGCCGGUAUGAGUAGCGCAAGACGUGUGAGAAUCACGUCCACCGUUUGCCCAAGGUUUCCUGGGUCAAGUUCGUCUUCCCAGGGUUAGUCGGGUCCUAAGGCGAGGCCGAAAGGCGUAGUCGAUGGACAACAGGUUGAUAUUCCUGUACCACCUAUAUGACUGAUGGAGUGACGAAGGAGGCUAACAAGUGCCUGUUAUUGGAUUCAGGUCUAAGCACAAAGGCUUAUAUGUAGGGAAAUCCGCAUAUUGGUAGGCUGAAGUGUGAUGGCGAAGAAAGUAGCAAUACAAUCGAAGACUUGUGACGCCAAACUUCCAAGAAAAGCUUCUAGGGUUAAUCGUAUAGGUGCCCGUACCGAGAACCGCCACAGGUGGGCAAGGAGAGUAUCCUAAGGUGAGCGAGAGAACUAUGGUUAAGGAACUCGGCAAAAUAACCCCGUAACUUAGGGAUAAGGGGUGGUCUAGCGAUAGACCCGCAGUAAAGACGUCCAGGCAACUGUUUACCAAAAACACAGGUCUCUGCAAAGCCGUAAGGCGAAGUAUAGGGGCUGACACCUGCCCAGUGCUGGAAGGUUAAUAGGAGAGGUUAGUAUUUGACUUUGUCAACAUGAUACGAAGCUUUGAAUUGAAGCCCCAGUGAACGGCGGCCGUAACUAUAACGGUCCUAAGGUAGCGAAAUUCCUUGUCAGGUAAGUUCUGACCCGCACGAAAGGUGUAAUGAUCUGGAUACUGUCUCAACCAUAGGCUCGGUGAAAUUUUAAUACCUGUGAAAAUGCAGGUUACCCGCGACAGGACGGAAAGACCCCAUGGAGCUUUACUGUAGCUUGAUAUUGAAAUUUGAUAUUCUUUGUAGAGGAUAGGUGGUAGACUUUGAUACUAGGACGCCAGUUCUAGUGGAGUCGCCCUUGGAAUACCACCCUUGGAAUAUUAGAUUUCUAACCUAGGACCGUGAUCCGGUUCGGGGACAGUGUCUGGUGGGCAGUUUGACUGGGGCGGUCGCC